rnacentral:rRNA from 1 species
UACAGAGGGUGCGAGCGUUAAUCGGAAUUACUGGGCGUAAAGCGUGCGUAGACGGUUAUUUAAGUCGGGUGUGAAAGCCCGAGGCUCAACCUCGGAACUGCCUUCGAUACUGCGGGUCUCGAGUCCGGGAGAGGUGAGUGGAAUUCCUAGUGUAGAGGUGAAAUUCGUAGAUAUUAGGAAGAACACCAGUGGCGAAGGCGGCUCACUGGCCCGGUACUGACGCUGAGGCGCGAAAGCCAGGGGAGCAAACGGG